GAUGAACGCUGGCGGCGUGCCUAAUACAUGCCAGUCGAGCGAACAGACGAGGAGCUUGCUCCUCUGACGUUAGCGGCGGACGGGUGAGUAACACGUGGAUAACCUACCUAUAAGACUGGGAUAACUUCGGGAAACCGGAGCUAAUACCGGAUAAUAUAUUGAACCGCAUGGUUCAAUAGUGAAAGACGGUUUUGCUGUCACUUAUAGAUGGAUCCGCGCCGCAUUAGCUAGUUGGUAAGGUAACGGCUUACCAAGGCGACGAUGCGUAGCCGACCUGAGAGGGUGAUCGGCCACACUGGAACUGAGACACGGUCCAGACUCCUACGGGAGGCAGCAGUAGGGAAUCUUCCGCAAUGGGCGAAAGCCUGACGGAGCAACGCCGCGUGAGUGAUGAAGGUCUUCGGAUCGUAAAACUCUGUUAUUAGGGAAGAACAAAUGUGUAAGUACCUAUGCACGUCUUGACGGUACCUAAUCAGAAAGCCACGGCUAACUACGUG
rnacentral:rRNA from 1 species